rnacentral:lncRNA from 1 species
AGUGAUCCAAGAUCAUGCCACUGCACUCCAGCCUGGGAGACAGAGAAAGACUCCAUCUCAGGGGAAAAAAAAGAAAAGAAAAGAAAAAGAAAAGAAAACUGAAUAAUACUCUAUUUUUCUACAAUGAAUCUAGAAGAAAAAGAAAAGACCAAAUAUAGGAUUACUUGAAUGAGACAAAAAAGAUGGAAUUUGGAGGACAAGACAAGAGAUACUAAGAAGAGUAAACCCAAUAAACAGACUGCAGCACAGAAAGGGUCCAGGACCAGGGAGGUGGCUUGUUCAGGAAAGAGUUAACUCAACAGGUCUGGGAUAUUCAAAUCCCACACAUUUCGAAAAAAAGUUCUCUCCUCAUUGGCUCCUGGGAGAAAAUCUCUACGUCUUUGGACUAUUCUUCCAGAUUGGAGACUGAAAAGAAGAGAAGUUAAGGAACUUGUCUAAGAUUAUCAAGCAAAAAUUUAAAGCUGAAGUUUCAAUAUUUUCUCAGAAAACAAGAAAAGUUAGUGAUCUCAUUAUAGAAAGACUGUUACAGUGGCUUCAGCAGAGUCAGUGGUUGUGUCAACAGCAUCUGGAGCAGAGAGGGCAAGCUUAGUUCAUAUGAAGCAGCAAUAGCAACAGAAGAAAAGGCAGUGACAUCACCCUCAGCUUGUUGGAGAAAAGCAAGAGUGGACUAACAUACAUCCUGUGCCUGGAAAAGCCACAGACACUCAAUGCCAGCCUGGGAGAGCAGCUGUGGUGGCUGAACCCUGAAAAAUCACAGGACUAGAGCUGCCCAAGCCUUUGGGAGCCUACCUCUUGCAUUGGUGUGCCCUGGAUUUGGGACAUGAAGUCAAAG